UCUGGUUGAUCCUGCCAGUAAUUAUAUGCUUGUUUUAAAGAUUAAGCCAUGCAAGUGUAAGUAUAAGUAACUCGUACUUUACAAAACUGCGAACGGCUCAUUAAAUCAGUUAUAAUUUAUUUGAUUAUCACCUUUCCUACUUGGAUAACCGAAGGAAAUCAUCGGCUAAUACAUGCGAAAAGGCGCGACUUUAUGGAAGCGCUGUAUUUAUUAGAUUUAAAAAUCAAUGCGUUCUUCGGAGCGGUAUCAUUGGUGAUUCAUAAUAACUUUGCGAAUCGGGCGGCCUUGCGCCGACGAUGAUUCAAAUAAAUUUCUGCCCUAUCAACUUUCGAUUGUAGUGUAGUGGACUACAAUGGUCGUAACGGGUAACGGAGAAUUAGGGUUCGAUUCCGGAGAGGGAGCCUGAGAGACGGCUACCAUUUCUAAGGGAAGCAGCAGGCGCGCAAAUUACUCAAUCUCAAUUCGAGGAAGUAGUAAACAAAAAUAACAAUGCGAGGCGACAAUGUCGUCUUGCAAUUGGAAUGAGUACAAUCUAAAUCACUUAACGAGUAUCGAUUGGAGGGCAAGUCUGGUGCCAGCAGCCGCGGUAACUCCAGCUCCAAUAGCGUAUACUAAUGUUGCUGCAGUUAAAAAGCUCGUAGUUGAAUCUCGGAGAAGUUUGUAAUCUGGUCCGCCUCGAAGGCGAGUACCGAUUGCAGCUCUCUAUAUCUGGUAACAGCGUACUGCUGUGCUUAAUUGCGCGGUAGUUUCAGGAAGAGGAGACUCGACUUGAAGGUCGGGGAUAUUUUGGGGAGAAUGGAUUAAUCUCUGUUUUUCACGGGAUAACUCUGGCAAUGUUUUACCUAUUUUACUUUGAAAAAAUUAGAGUGUUCAAAGCAAGGCGUUUUUGCCUAUUGAAUAUUGCAGCAUGGGAUAAUAGAAAAAGAUAGUCCGUCUUAUUUUGUUGGUUUUUUAAGAUGACAAUAAUGAUAGAAGGGGAUGGUUGGGGCGGUCUGUAUUGCCACGUCAGAGGUGAAAUUCUUAGAUUGUGGCAAGACAAACAACUGCGAAAGCAUUCCGCUAGGACAUAUUCAUCAAUCAAGAACGAAAGUUGGGGGAUCGAAGACGAUCAGAUACCGUCGUAGUCUCAACCAUAAACAAUGCCGACCAAGGAUUGGAGAUUGUUAAAUUUUAAUGACUUCCCCAGCACUUUGCGAGAAAUCACAAGUCUUUGGGUUCCGGGGGGAGUAUGGUCGCAAGGCUGAAACUUAAAGGAAUUGACGGAAGGGCACCACCAGGCGUGGAACUUGCGGCUUAAUUUGACCCAACACGGGAAAACUUACCAGGUCCAGACAGCGUUAGGAUUGACAGAUUGAGAGCUCUUUCAUGAUUCGUUGGGU
rnacentral:rRNA from 1 species